rnacentral:rRNA from 1 species
AUUGAACGCUGGCGGCAUGCCUUACACAUGCAAGUCGAACGGCAGCACGGGAGCAAUCCUGGUGGCGAGUGGCGAACGGGUGAGUAAUAUAUCGGAACGUGCCCGGUCGUGGGGAUAACGUAGCGAAAGCUACGCUAAUACCGCAUACGAUCUACGGAUGAAAGCGGGGGAUCGCAAGACCUCGCGCGAUUGGAGCGGCCGAUAUCAGAUUAGGUAGUUGGUGAGGUAAAGGCUCACCAAGCCGACGAUCUGUAGCUGGUCUGAGAGGACGACCAGCCACACUGGGACUGAGACACGGCCCAGACUCCUACGGGAGGCAGCAGUGGGGAAUUUUGGACAAUGGGCGCAAGCCUGAUCCAGCAAUGCCGCGUGCAGGAUGAAGGCCUUCGGGUUGUAACUGCUUUGUACGGUAACGAAAGG